rnacentral:lncRNA from 1 species
GUCGAGUACAUCACAAUGAUGGCUGAUCCAUGCAUCUGCCACAUGCCUCUGAUGGGGCCAGGGUGAGCCAGAGACGCCUUUGAGUGCAGGAAUGCCCCUGGGUCAUGUCUGCCUCCUCCCAGCCCUGAGCACUAUCUGUCACUAGCCAGGCGUCACGCAUGGAGGGAAGAGAUUGUUUGCCCAGCAGAUGGUCCAGUCUCAGGUUGUACAAAGAGCGCUGAGGCUGACAGCCCUGGGAGAUCUCUGUGCUGGCUGCAGGUGGGACAUCCCUUCUCAGUUUUGAAGUUCCAGCAGUGUAUGCGGCAGGCUCAGCUAUGGUUGGUGGACAUUUCUUUUGAGACCCAGAUUGAGACUUUGAGCUCAGCCGGACCAUGGUGGCAUACGCAGGAUCCCAGGUACCCAAGGAAGGGAUGGCCGGGCUGACCAGGAAGCAGAACAAGGCAUAUUCUCAGACUCGAAGUAGCUGCCUGCUGAUAAAGGAGAUUAAGGCAAAGAAACCGGAGUGGCUUAAACGUACUGAAACAGUAGAACAUAUACAGAAGACAUGUCUACAGGGACUACACAGCUGUAGUCACCAAACAGCGUGGUGCUGGUGACAGGGUACAUAAAUACAUAAAGGAAUAAAAGCAUUUACACACAGACUCA